CACGUGCUCUGCAAAGAAUCUGAUAGCAGCCAUUUAUAGUAUAAGGUCACAGACUUCAAGAAGCUAGUGUCAGAAUUUGGACUAAAAUCUAUGUCUCUUCAUUGAAGUGUCCUCUUCCCUGGUCUUUACUGCCCCAGAAUGUAUUUCUUCCCCUACCAUACCACAGGCAUGGUGCUCAGAGCGGUUCUCAAUUAUUUAAUGUCACAACACAGUAGGUCUGUAGUAUCAUCAUUCUAAGUUACAGAUGAGAAAACAGGUUUAAGGAGCUUAAGAGACUUUCCCAAAGUUAACAUAGCUGUGGGGUGGGUGCAUGUGGGGAGGAGAGCUUCACAUAUGAGUGUGUUUGACCACAUUGCCUACCCACAAGUGAAACAUGAAAACCUGACCCCAUCCACUUAAAGGUUCACUGUCUAUGCCUCAGAGUCUCCCCACAGGAUUAUUGCCAGCCCCAGGGGUAAGAGAGAGGGGCUUGGUUUCCAGCUCUGCCACUCAAGGUGGGGUACCUUGAGUACAUCCCUUACUGUGUUUAUGGUUUAGUUUCUGCACCCGUAGCUCUAGAAAUAAAAACUCACCACAAAGUAAAACUUAGAUUUUCAGGGCAUUUGGCUCCAUCUUCUGGUCAGUUCCAAUCACUGCAGCUUUUCGCAGUGUGGCUAUCCACUGUGGACAUCAGGUAAUGUAGAGGCUUCUAGGAAACUUCUGGACACUGUGGGGAUUAGGGGUGCCUGGCGCAGAACCAGAGCUGACCUGAAAGUCCAUGGAAUUUCUGUGGCCUCUGGGUCACAUUGACCCUCUGCUGCUAGUGGCUAGGUGGAGUCUCAGGGAGGUAACCAUGGUGGGGAGAAGCUCCCAGUGCCAGAGUAGGAGCGACAUUGGAGAUCAUGGAGUCUAGCCCCACCAAAGGACACAUGGGGACACUGAGGCCUGGGAGAACAGGGACUCGCUCCAGGCCACACACAUAGUUUCCAGGUUUCCUGACACCCAAAUCCACUGGCCUCCUGUCUGCCUAACUGUGGGCCCCCUCACCUCUUCUGCAAAGAUCCCAUCCUAGCUGGUCACUUCUCGUCCUCCUGAGACAGGGCCAUCUGCUUAAUAAGCGUGCUGGCCAUCCACUUGCUCCCUUGACAACCCACCCUCUCCUUGUCCCAGCUCCAGCCCUGACUGGGUGGGGUGUCCCUCCACCUCUCCAAGCCUGGGCUUUCCUGGAGAAAUGGGGGGCACGGAACGAAGAGGGAGGUAGAGAUCUGCAUCUCUUCCAGCUCUGCCCCACUUCCCGCCCAGCCUCUCUCAACCUCAGUUUCCCCAUUUGACACACAACCAACCACUACACCAGAUUCCUAAGAAGAUUAAGUGGAUAGUUGGUGUGAAGGUGCUCUGUGAAUUCUUGAGCCCUCUAAUAAAGUAUUAAAUUUCCAGGUCUAUUUGGGUCCUCCCCAGGACACAUAGGACCCAAUUAGCCUACAGAUUAUGGGACCCUCUUCAGAGGAGGGAAAUGAGCCGUUUUUCUAAUCUCAUGGCUUCAGGAUCUGGGGCUUCCUGGCAGAGUCUAGGAUUGAACUCCUUCCUUCCACCCAGAUUCUGCUUAUUUCUGGACAACAAUUAAGUCUUAGUUCAAUAGAGUAUCUUAGAGGCACUGCCACUGACCCAGAAGCUAGCCUUUGAAAGCCCAGGAGCUGUAAUGGGAGAGGCAGAGGAGGAUCAGUUUGUCCGAGUGUCUUCCCUUCCCUUGUCUGGACAUAGGAUCCAUGGCCUCUAGUUUAGACAAGUGAGGCCCAGACAAACAGCUGAAGAAGAGGGGAAAUCUUUCCCAGCUUGAGUCUUGAGCUCUCACUGCAGUCUUGAUUCUGUUUGAACUUCAGAGUGUUGGAGAAACAGGAGGCAAGAAGGGAUGGUUGAGGUCAUCUAGAGCAGCCCUGCCUUUCCUGCAUGCUCCCAAAGGUGGGGGGGGGGGUGUCACUACCUUUUCUAGGAAGCCCAGUGCCUCCUCAAGCAGCUCUAACCCUUAGAAAAGUCCCACUCAAUGAUUCUAGAGGGAGGGUCUGAGACUACUUAUACCACAGUCACCUGGGGUGACUUGCUGAAUCAAACCAUCUGGGACAGGCCUGGAAUCUGCAUCUACAACAGCCUCUGCAGGUGAGGAGGCAUGUGAACUUCAGGAGCCGUUGUUCCACCUCUGUUGCCCCGGGAAUGACACUCUCAGCACCUGCCCUGGACACAGUUCUACCAACCCUUUCUGACAGGACAUGGUUUUCCCUUUUCUCAACACUCUGCUCCGUCACUUCUCAGGUUCUUCUCUCUUUUUCCUGGUCUCCAUGCCUGUUUCGUAAAUAGGACAUCAUAGAAUUUGGGGGCUAGAAGUGUAUUAACAGAACACCGUAUCCAACUCAUUUUAUAGAUGUAGUAUUUGAGACCCAGAGAGGGCAGUAUCUUGCCCCAGGUCACACAGCUAUUCCAUGGGAGCUAACAGGAGACACAAUCCCAUGACUCCUAGUGAGUGCCCUUCCCACCGUGCUGUUCUGUCCUGCUGUAAAAGCUGCAUUGUAGGGCAAUGCCCAUCCCAGACCCCUUCUUAGAUGCAGCCAUCGUGGUGUCAUCAUGGGACUCUCCCUGACCAAAACUGACUGGACCAGGAAUGGUCAUCUGAACUCUGAGUUGGAUCAGUCAGAUUUUCUCUUGAAAGAGAGUCAUUGCUGAGGGUCACUGAUGCUAUUGAGAGCUGGGGCUAAGAGGUCAAGCAGACUCUAGGGCUGGGGGUUGGGGUGGCAAUUUGUGUACCAUGUGUGCUGAGGAGCAGGUAGAGAAAGAGGACCUAUAGAGAGAAACAUACCAGAGGUGGGCUACUGUACAAUGACAGAGAGAGAGGGAGAGAGAGGCCCUUAGAGGGGGGAAGAUUGCAAUAACAAUUAGAGACAGAGACACACAUACAUACAUACAUACAAAUAGAUGGAGAGAUAUAAACACAGAGAGACAUAGAGGGAGAGACUGGAAUAGAGAUGUGUGUGUGAGAGAGAGAGAGGGAGGGAGAGAGAUAUUGACUUAGACAAAGACAAUGAAAGAAAGAGAGACAGAGAUGGAGCCCCUGGCACUCGGUAUUUUUCCAUUUUUUCCCCAAGGUCCAGCUGUACCGUCCCCCCUGCCCCACCCCAACCCCUGCCUUGCUUGCCUUCUCUGAUUUGCCUCCAAUCUCUCCCCAACCACCUUUACACUUGAGUGAUCUUCAGUGGGUUUCUGCCUCUUGCAACCAUGUGAUUCCCAACCAACCCAGCCCUGGAGGGGUUUCUGGAGGGAUGGGGAUGCUCACAGAUCUGCCUGAGAGGCAAAUGUUGCACUCUGGGGAAGCAAACACUGCAUUCUGCUUAUCAGACCACCUGUCACUUCUUGUUACCUCCAGGACCUGGAGAUGACUCUAUUCCUCAGCAGAUAUAGCAGAGCAGCCAGCUCCCAGUGGUUGGCUGGCCUCCCGCCAGCGGCAGUCUUCCUGGGAGCAGACUCCCUGCCCAUCCAGAGCAGUGUUAAUGAGACCCAGGCUGUGCUCAUUGUCACCUCUAGGCCUGUGUUCACUUGACAUCCUUUCCUUCCCAGGACUGUCCUCUCUGCCCAGGCCACGCCCCACUUACCUUUCCACUCCUCCAGUAAGCCUUCCUAACAGCCAACCCUGCAGCACACAGGAAUCCUUCCCUUUCUAAAUGUUCCCUAUACCUCUUAUCUCUCCUUUGUCCUUUAGUGCAUAUCACUCCAAAAUUAUGUCACAUAAAGGGCUAUUACACUAAGUUAUAAGCCCAUCAAGCUUACCACGUGAGUAGAAAAGGAAAUCACUGAAUUUGUAUGUUUGGGAUAAUAAGAGCUAUUCAUAACAUAGAAGGUUAUUUGGAUGCUGUGAAUCUUGUAGCACUAGUUACCGAGAAACUCAUGUGAUCCUCACGACUGUUUACAAAACAGGAACUGGGGUCACAGAAGAGUCACUUGUUAAAAGGUCACGUCUGUAGUCAAGGACAGAGGGCAAAGGAGAUUUCAUGGCAGAUUCCUCCCCCUUCCCACUUGGCUGGCUGGUGCCUAACAGUCCACCAUUGGAAUUUUGUCCUUUUGUUUUAAAGCUGUAAUUAUUGUAAAAUACAGAUUUUUUUUUUUUUUUUUUACUAGAGGAAGAAAAUUUUCCAGACCAUCAUAAAUUGCCUACUUGAGAGACAGACAUCUGAAUAACCAGCACCCUCCUGUUUGCUGAGUGUGUCGUAUGGAAUGCUCGUUCCUUGGGAUGUUAAAUAAGUUUUACUAAGGAGGAAAAAAAAGGCAAUUUAGUGUGGGAAGCACCAGAUUAAACUGCUGGCUGAGGGGCGCUGUGGGUCUGUAAGUAGGGAAGAAAUGUGCUGUAUUCACUAUAUAAAUUUGACCGUGGCUUCUGUUCUUACAGCUCACCUCUCCGAUUAGGCUUCCAUGGACCCUUUUGGUAGAAACGCUGCCUGAACCCACUGGAUAACCCAGUUACCACUGAGCACAAUUUCUAGUUUUUUAAUGCUUCCUGUGGACACACACCUGGCUGCCCUUCUUUUGCAUUUGGUGGUGCUGCCUGCCAGGUGGCUUCUCAGGGCCUUGUCCUGGCAAAGAGCCAUGAAUCUACUGAGGAGCGAGCCCCUCCAGAAGCACCGUGAUUUUCACAUGGAGCUCCUGAAGAUCACGAAGACUUGCAGGUUCACAAGCGGCUGCCGCAGGAUCCAGUGUCCUGGAGCGUCAGAGUCGACUGAGCGUCAGGAGGGCGGCCAGGUACCCAGGAUGGCGGCAGGUCAGGACUGUGCCCACGAGCCAGGCAAGCAGUAGAGGCGCCUUCUGGGCAUCAGGGCAUCCUCAGGAGUCUAUGGCGCUAUGCCUGAAAGGCACAUGAUGUUGCAGAACAGACAUGGCAUGUUCUACAGUACUGGUUGGUCUCAGAACGCCCUUCCUCC